AAGGGAAGCGAGCCUGCGAGGGUAAGCGAAUCCCAAAAUAAACGUCCCAGUUCGGAUUGCAGUCUGCAACUCGAGUGCAUGAAGCUGGAAUCGCUAGUAAUCGCGGAUCAGAAUGCCGCGGUGAAUACGUUCCCGGGUCUUGUACACACCGCCCGUCACACCAUGGGAGUCGGGAAUGCCCGAAGCCGGUGGCCCAAUCGAGAGAAGGGAGCCGUCGAAGGCAGGCCGGAUGACUGGGGUGAAGUCGUAACAAGGUACC
rnacentral:rRNA from 1 species